rnacentral:lncRNA from 1 species
CCACAUUAACGAAAGGUCUCCUCCCAAUCCUUGUCUAUUGACUGAGAAGCAAUCAUCAAAAUGUAAAAAAUUACGAAAAAAUUACAUACGAGAACUAAGAGCUUUUGUUUCCAUCAAAAAUAAAAUAUCCACCUUGUAACUAGUAACCAAAUUUUUCAAUGCAUUAACUGUCCGAGGAUUGCCGAGUCCUUGGCAGUUCCAACACAUGACGAUAAUUGCUUUCGACUAUCCUGACCUUUGAUGGAAUGAGCCACUUCGAUAAUCAAUUGACGCAGAUCGUCUUCCAUGGGGG